AUACGAAGGGGGCUAGCGUUGUUCGGAAUUACUGGGCGUAAAGCGCGCGUAGGCGGAUCGUUAAGUCAGGGGUGAAAGCCCGGAGCUCAACUCCGGAACUGCCCUUGAUACUGGCGAUCUAGAGUCCGGGAGAGGUGAGCGGAAUUCCUAGUGUAGAGGUGAAAUUCGUAGAUAUUAGGAGGAACACCAGUGGCGAAGGCGGCUCACUGGCCCGGUACUGACGCUGAGGUGCGAAAGCGUGGGGAGCAAACAGGAUUAGAAACCCUAGUAGUCC
rnacentral:rRNA from 1 species